GGGGAUGAAAGGAUUUCGACAGGGUUGUUGAACCUUGGUCAGCGAGUAGUGGAGUUGCACCACUUUAAAAGUAACAACUUAAAAUUAACUGACAAAAAUAAUUCAGUUGCUCUUGCUGCUUAAUUAGCAGCUUGCGUUCUACCGCAAAGUGCCACGGUUGCGGAUAGGGCGUCGAUUUAGUGGCGAACAUGAACGAGAGAGUGUCUCGUCUCUCGUCAGGUAAUAGAGAAUACCGUAGCCUGCAGGCUGUUUAUCGCCGGCAGGUGAGGGGAUAACCUAAAGGAUAAACUACACUCGUAGAGCCCUUGGCAAGAUGAUUUUGGACGCGAGUUCGACUCUCGCCAUCUCCACCA
rnacentral:tmRNA from 1 species